GACGAACGCUGGCGGCGUGCUUAACACAUGCAAGUCGAACGGGAAGGCUCUUCGUUUGUGGGGUGGACGAGUGGCGAACGGGUGAGUAACAGGCGAGUAACCUGCCCUUGACCUUGGGAUAUCUACCGGAAACUGGGGCUAAUAGCGGAUAGGAGCUCCUGCUGCACGAUGGGGGUGGGCAAGUUUCGGCGGUUGGGGAGGGACUCGCGGCUUAUCAGAUUGGUGGUGGGGUAGUGGUUUAGCAAGGCUGUGACGGGUAGCGGGGCUGGGAGGGUGACCGGCCACAUUAGGACUGGGAUACGGCCCAGACCCCUACGGGAGGGAGCGGUGGGGAAUCGUGCACUGUGGGCGGGAGGCUGAUGCAGCAACGCCGCGUGCGGGAUGAGGGCCUUCGGGUUGUAAACCGCUUUUGCCUGUGACGAGGCGUGAGUGACGGUAAUGGGUGAAGAAGCCCCGGCUAACUUCGUG
rnacentral:rRNA from 1 species